GAAGAGACGGAGCCGCAGCGAAAGCGAGUCUGAAUAGGGCGAAAUAGUAUGUGGUUGUAGACCCGAAACCAGGUGAUCUACCCAUGUCCAGGGUGAAGUCCAGGUAACACUGGAUGGAGGCCCGAACCCACGCACGUUGAAAAGUGCGGGGAUGAGGUGUGGGUAGCGGAGAAAUUCCAAUCGAACUUGGAGAUAGCUGGUUCUCUCCGAAAUAGCUUUAGGGCUAGCCUCAAGAUUUAGAGUAUUGGAGGUAGAGCACUGAUUGGACUAGGGG
rnacentral:rRNA from 1 species